CGAAGGGGGCUAGCGUUGCUCGGAAUUACUGGGCGUAAAGGGCGCGUAGGCGGAUAGUUUAGUCAGAGGUAAAAGCCCAGGGCUCGACCUUGGAACUGCCUUUGAUACUGGCUAUCUUGAGUUCGGGAGAGGUGAGUGGAAUGCCGAGUGUAGAGGUGAAAUUCGUAGAUAUUCGGCGGAACACCAGUGGCGAAGGCGACUCACUGGCCCGAUACUGACGCUGAGGCGCGAAAGCGUGGGGAGCAAACAGGAUUAGAUACCCUGGUAGUCCACGCUGUAAACGAUGAGUGCUAGUUGUCGGCAUGCAUGCAUGUCGGUGACGCAGCUAACGCAUUAAGCACUCCGCCUGGGGAGUGCGGUCGCAAGAUUA
rnacentral:rRNA from 1 species